GUGUGCACGGCUGAGACAGAAGGAGGUCUGUGGGAUCAGCAGAACCAGCGAAACCCUCCAGGUGUCGUCAUCAAGUCCCGCUGUCUCCUCUCUCCUGGGUGGCUCGCAAACGUCAACAGGCUCACGAGAUGAUGGGGCUGAAUUAUUUCUGGGUCUCCGUUUAAGGCUCUGCAGGAAAAGGAAUACUGGCUGCUGGGUGCACACUGAGUUUGGGGCAGUAUGGCACGGACACAGCUAGGAACAGGUGGGGCCUGUGCAUUUCUCUGCAGGUGGCGACUGGCCUAGGAGGAAGGGACGACCAGGCCUGG
rnacentral:lncRNA from 1 species